AAUUUAACAAAAAGCGGCCCAAUCCAG
rnacentral:sRNA from 1 species